CAAAUCCUCUACCCGGUAAGGUGUAGCGAACCGCCGGGAGCCCGAGUCAUGGGCGGCUGCUCGCGAGGGCAGGGGCUAAACGUUGACAGGGGAACAUACAGGCUCGGUAUUGAGCUCGGAAAUCAAGGUUGGGAAUGCUGACCGCGUUAUCUGAUCGGGAAAGCAAAACUGCCAGCUGCGCUAGACGCGAGCAGCGGGCAGAUUCCCCGGAGUCGUAGACCC
rnacentral:ncRNA from 1 species